GACGGAGGAUGCAAGCGUUAUCCGGAAUGAUUGGGCGUAAAGCGUCCGCAGGUGGCAGUUCAAGUCUGCUGUCAAAGACCGGGGCUUAACUUCGGAAAGGCAGUGGAAACUGAACAGCUAGAGUAUGGUAGGGGCAGAGGGAAUUCCUGGUGUAGCGGUGAAAUGCGUAGAGAUCAGGAAGAACACCGGUGGCGAAAGCGCUCUGCUGGACCUUAACUGACACUCAGGGACGAAAGCUAGGGGAGCGAAUGGG
rnacentral:rRNA from 1 species